rnacentral:rRNA from 1 species
CACAGGUGCUGCAUGGCUGUCGUCAGCUCGUGUCGUGAGAUGUUGGGUUAAGUCCCGCAACGAGCGCAACCCUUGUCAUUAGUUGCUACGAAAGGGCACUCUAAUGAGACUGCCGGUGACAAACCGGAGGAAGGUGGGGAUGACGUCAAGUCCUCAUGGCCCUUAUAGGUGGGGCUACACACGUCAUACAAUGGCUGGUACAAAGGGUUGCCAACCCGCGAGGGGGAGCCAAUCCCAUAAAGCCAGUCGUAGUCCGGAUCGCAGUCUGCAACUCGACUGCGUGAAGUCGGAAUCGCUAGUAAUCGUGGAUCAGCAUGUCACGGUGAAUACGUUCCCGGGUCUU